rnacentral:lncRNA from 1 species
GGCCUCGUCGUCCCCCACGCCCACGCCGUCCGUCCACGCGCGCUCUACCUCGCCCUCGCCCACAUGAUGUUGUGCCAGCGGCAGUGCUGGCAGUGUGGCAGGCAGCUGGCGUCAGUGCGCUCGUGCCAGCAGCACAUGCUGACCAAGCCUCACCUCACGCUGCCUCUGCCAGGACCUUACGACGACUGCUACUGCUGGCAACGACUGGAGGCGGCGGUGUUGCUGGCGGCCACCGCGUCGCAGGCGGCGGCCGAG